rnacentral:rRNA from 1 species
AUGCUCCUCCGGGCGGCGGCCGCCGCCGCCCACCGGCUCCGCUUCAUUCCCCCGGUCCGCCGCAUAUCUUCCUUGAAGGUCCCGUGGCGCCGGGACGCGGCCCUGGACGCGUCCAUCGACCGCGACCGGCGCUUCCACCAAGCGUCCCGCCUCGUCCGCGAGGUGCUCCUCUCCCCCGGCCGCCGCCUCCUCCUUCGCUACCUUUCCAAGCGCCGCCAGCGCAUCCGCCUUCCGGUCCACGUCGCAACCUUCCUCCGCCGGUACCCCACGCUCCUCUCCGUUUCCCCUCCUCCCGACCCCGUCGCCUCCCCGUCCCCGCAGCUCGCCUCCUUCCUCGAAUUCGCAUCCCGCCUCCAGGCCACCCACUCCCCGCUCCUCGCCUCCAGGCUCGCCAAGCUCCUCAUGAUGUCCUGCACGCACGCGCUGCCGGUCGCAAAGAUUGCUGCUGCCAAGCGCGUCUUCGGCCUCCCGGACGACUUCUUGGUCUCGCUGGUCCCGAGGCACCCCGAUCUCUUCCGCCUCGUCGGAGACCCAGGGCCGGACGCGUCCGGCGACGCGUUCCUGGAGCUUGCCUCUUGGGACGACCGGCUCGCGAAGUCGGCGAUUGAAUUGAGGGCGGAUAGGGAGGCCGAUGUUGUUGGCAUACGGCCGAGGCCGAACUUUACAGUCAAAUUGCCAAAGGGGUUCUACCUCAAGAAGGAGAUGAGACAGUGGGUGAGGGAUUGGCUUGAGCUGCCAUAUGUGUCACCAUAUGCCGACACUUUCGGGCUUCACCCCGCAUCACCAGAGGCAGAGAAGAGGUUGAUUGGUGUUUUACAUGAGGUGUUGUCCUUGUCAGUUGAAAGGAGGAUGGCGAUACCAAUUAUAGGGAAGUUCUGUGAUGAGUUUAGGCUGUCGAAUGCGUUUUCUAACGCGUUCACGAGGCACCCGGGUUUAUUCUACGUUUCAUUGAAGGGUGGCAUUAAGACGGUGAUAUUGAGGGAGGCGUAUGACGAAAAUGGAGAGCUUGUGGAUAGGGACCCUAUGAUUGAGUUGAAGGAGAGGUUCGUGGCAAUCAUGGAUGAGGGCCAUAAGAAGUAUUUGGAGGAGUUGAGGAGGAGGAAUGAGAUGCUGCAGAAAGAGAGGGCAAAUGCCAUUCACAGGGGUGCCAAAGUUGACACAAAUAUUGAGGGAAGAGAUAUGGAGGGAUCAGAGGAAGACGAAGAUGAAGUAUAUGAUUAUGCACAAGUAGAAUCAGAAGAAAGAGAGCCAUUGUGA